UAACUCUGAUGUCUCCUCAUUUGCGGAUAAAUCUUUCGCCUUUUACUAAAGAUUUCCGUGGGGAGGCAUAAUACAAUGAGUCUUAUCUCAUUUUUCCAGCUCUGUCUCACGACAGAGU
rnacentral:snRNA from 1 species